ensembl:snRNA U6 U6 spliceosomal RNA
GUGCUCGCUGCGGCAGCACAUAUACUAAAAUUGGAAUACAGAGAAGAUUAGCACCGGCCCUGUGCAAGGACGACAUGCAAAUUCGUGAAGCGUUCCAUACUUUU